UACGUAGGGCGCAAGCGUUUGUCCGGAAUUAUUGGGCGUAAAGAGCUCGUAGGCGGUUUGUCGCGUCUGGUGUGAAAACCUCAGGCUCAACCUGGGGCGUGCAUCGGGUACGGGCAGACUAGAGUGCGGUAGGGGAGACUGGAAUUCCUGGUGUAGCGGUGAAAUGCGCAGAUAUCAGGAGGAACACCGGUGGCGAAGGCGGGUCUCUGGGCCGAUACUGACGCUGAGGAGCGAAAGCGUGGGGAGCAAACAGG
rnacentral:rRNA from 1 species